UUGAAAGGGAAACGAUUGAAGUCAGUCGUGCUGGCGCGAAAUCAACCUUCUCGUCUUGAGAUCACAUGGCGUGGCGAGCCUCAAAACCGUCACGAAGCGUGAACUCUUUGUGAAAUGGAGCACUUUCGUGUCCGCUGGUUAACAUCAAUUUCGAACGUCAUAAAAAGGCUGGAGGGAUGUGGCUCCUUCGGGAGUGUUAUAACCUUUAGCGGAAUGUGGUGUUCGGGAUUGAGGAUUGCAACGAAUACCUUUAGGGCUGUUCCACCUGGCUUCUCUUUGGUAUCCUGGUGACGACAGCUUGCUGACGUCGUUAGGAUUCGCCUUUGAACAGGUUAGAGUGUGAGCAAAUUCGUUAAGAAUGUUGACGUA
rnacentral:rRNA from 1 species